rnacentral:rRNA from 1 species
CCUACGGGUGGCUGCAGUCGAGAAUCAUUCACAAUGGGGGAAACCCUGAUGGUGCGACGCCGCGUGGGGGAACGAAGGUCUUCGGAUUGUAAACCCCUGUCAUGUGGGAGCAAAUUAAAAAGAUCGUACCACAAGAGGCAGAGACGGCUAACUCUGUGCCAGCAGCCGCGGUAAUACAGAGGUCUCAAGCGUUGUUCGGAAUCACUGGGCGUAAGGCGUGCGUAGGCUGUGUCGUAAGUCGUGUGUGAAAGGCGCGGGCACAACCCGCGGACGGCACAUGAUACUGCGAGACUAGAGUAAGGGAGGGGGAACCGGAAUUCUCGGUGUAGCAGUGAAAUGCGUAGAUAUCGAGAGGAACACUCGUGGCGAAGGCGGGUUACUGGACAGUAACUGACGCUGAGGCACGAAGGCCAGGGGAGCGAAAGGGAUUAGAUACCCGGGUAGUC